AAUAAACGAAUUUCUGUGUUUUUAUAGAAUUUUUGACUCUUCAUCUUAUUUAAAUUUUUUUUAUGAUUAAUACUUUUAUUGUUACUACAUGAUAAGACAUAAAUAAUACUUUACAUGUGACUAAUUUUUUUAAUUUUUUAAUAAUUCUUUUAAAUAAAACGGAUGAUCAAACAUUCGACCUAGAAAACGAGUAGUACUCCUAUG
rnacentral:pre_miRNA from 1 species